UUGACUUGUGGAACGUCAACUUGAUAAGUAGUACCAUCGUCGUUUUCAGCAACUACCGGGCUUCCUUUCUGAAACAGCCCGCCGACCCAAACUUGGCCCACCAAUGACCAAAGUUAGACAUGGACGGUUUUAACUGAUCCAACAACCAAAACAGGACUUGUAGGGUCCACAAUAUUAUACUGUCUAAUAUCCCCAUGUAACCAGUUCACAAAGUA
rnacentral:lncRNA from 1 species